AUUCCAUACUUCCGGUGGUCUCCUAUUCCAUACUUCCGGUGGUCUCCUAUUCCAUACUUCCGGUGGUCUCCUAUUAUAUACUUAGUCCCAUCGUGGUGCUGUGAUGAUGAGGAAAGAGUAAAGAAAGGUUCUGGGUGUUCUAGGCUGUUAAGUCUUUCAGUCGUGGACGAAUGCCCUUGAAUAAGAUUUAGGAUUCUGGCCCCCUCCUCGAUGAUUUCUGCAUCCUGGCCAUGAGACCAGCCGUUCCGUUUGUACCCUUGAGAUCUCCUGCCCAUUUUUGUCUGUACACUGCUACUCCAAGACAAUGCUGAGAGAUUAUGGAGUAAAAUCUUUAAUACCAGGCUCCAAAGAUUAGGGUCAUGUGAUGCUUGAAGCCUCCUUUUGAAAAAAAAUGUUUUGCCCUACCGUGUGCCCAGCACUCAGCUCUCUUCUUCUGUCCAAAGCCUCCUGGGAAGACACACUCCAGCAGUGCCCAGCUGAGAGAAGGUCUCCCCUCUUCAGAGUCCUGCCAUCUCCCAGUAGUGUUCUGGGCUGAUGUCCAUCCUGUGGGACAUUUCCCAAGACCUUAGACAGCACUCUCAGCUUCUCAUCGUUCUCCCCUGACGAAGGAAUGCAUCCCCAUCCAAUGCAACCUCAUCAUUCACGCGUGUUCCCAGUGCCUGUCAGGGCAAGAGGCUCCAGGCCAGUUCAAAGCUGACCCACAGAAUUCCUGAGAGAGGGCUGGAGGUGUUGCUUGGCGGCAGAGCCAGAGUUCGGCAUGUGCGAGCCACUAAGUUGAAUGCAAUGCUCCAAAGUCAACUUGUGAGAGUCUCUGAAGAGGGGAAGAAGUAGGAACUUUGGUAAUUACUGCACCUUUUAAUUCCCCCUUGAGAGAAUGCAUCAGUGUAUCCUAAGCUGAAUUAAUUUUCACAAAAGAAGUCCUGCAGCUUUUUCAUUCGUGGGCUUCUUUGUAAGCUCGGGCUGAUGUGUCCUGUGGACAGACUGCUGAGGAUACAGCCAUGAGAAACGAAGGAAACUGAUCGAAGAAGCUAAACAAGGAGGGCCCAAGGGAGGGUGCUUAAAUCUCACUCAGGAGGGAAAAUAAAAUAGUUAU